rnacentral:rRNA from 1 species
UACGGAGGGUGCAAGCGUUAUCCGGAUUUACUGGGUUUAAAGGGUGCGCAGGCGGAUAUGUAAGUCAAUGGUGAAAUCUCCGGGCUUAACCCGGAAACUGCCGUUGAUACUAUAUAUCUUGAAUGCUGUGGAGGUAAGCAGAAUAUGUCAUGUAGCGGUGAAAUGCUUAGAGAUGACAUAGAAUACCUAUUGCGAAGGCAGCUUACUACGCAGAUAUUGACGCUCAUGCACGAAAGCGUGGGGAUCAAACAGG